UACGAGGGGGGCGAGCGUUGUUCGGAAUUAUUGGGCGUAAAGGGUGCGUAGGCGGUUCCGCAAGUCCUGUGUGAAAUCUUCGGGCUCAACUCGAAGUCUGCACGGGGAAACUGCGGGGCUUGAGUGUGGGAGAGGUGAGUGGAAUUCCCGGUGUAGCGGUGAAAUGCGUAGAUAUCGCUUGGAACGCCAACGGUGAAAACAGGUUGCUGGGGUUGUGCCGACGCUGAGACACGAAAGCCAGGGGAGCAAACGGG
rnacentral:rRNA from 1 species